rnacentral:rRNA from 1 species
GAUGAACGCUGGCGGCGUGCCUAAUACAUGCAAGUAGAACGCUGAAGGAGGAGCUUGCUCUUCUGGAUGAGUUGCGAACGGGUGAGUAACGCGUAGGUAACCUGCCUGGUAGCGGGGGAUAACUAUUGGAAACGAUAGCUAAUACCGCAUGACAACAGUUAUUGCAUGAUAACUGUUUAAAAGGGGCAACUGCUCCACUACCAGAUGGACCUGCGUUGUAUUAGCUAGUUGGUGAGGUAACGGCUCACCAAGGCGGCGAUACAUAGCCGACCUGAGAGGGUGAUCGGCCACACUGGGACUGAGACACGGCCCAGACUCCUACGGGAGGCAGCAGUAGGGAAUCUUCGGCAAUGGACGGAAGGCUGACCGAGCAACGCCGCGUGAGUGAAGAAGGGUUUCGGAUCGUAAAGCUCUGUUGUAAGAGAAGAACGAGUGUGAGAGUGGAAAGUUCACACUGUGACGGUAUCUUACCAGAAAGGGACGGCUAACUACGUG